UACGUAGGGGGCAAGCGUUGUCCGGAAUCAUUGGGCGUAAAGAGCGCGUAGGCGGCCCUGUAAGUCCGCUGUGAAAGUCAAGGGCUCAACCCUUGGAUGCCGGUGGAUACUGCAGGGCUAGAGUCCGGAAGAGGCGAGUGGAAUUCCUGGUGUAGCGGUGAAAUGCGCAGAUAUCAGGAAGAACACCCGUGGCGAAGGCGGCUCUCUGGUACGUGACUGACGCUGAGACGCGAAAGCGUGGGGAGCAAACAGG
rnacentral:rRNA from 1 species